rnacentral:rRNA from 1 species
UACGUAGGGGGCAAGCGUUGUCCGGAAUCAUUGGGCGUAAAGAGCGCGUAGGCGGCCCAGUAAGUCCGCUCUGAAAGUCAGGGGCUCAACCCCUGAAUGCGGGUGGAUACUGCUGGGCUAGAGUCCGGAAGAGGCGAGUGGAAUUCCUGGUGUAGCGGUGAAAUGCGCAGAUAUCAGGAAGAACACCAACGGCGAAGGCAGCUCGCUAGGACGGUACUGACGCUGAGACGCGAAAGCGUGGGGAGCGAACAGG